rnacentral:tRNA from 1 species
ACCUGGGUGGCUCAGUCGGUUGAGCAUCUGACUUCGACUCAGAUCAUGAUCUCGCAGUUCGUGGGUUCAAGCCCCGCGUCGGGUU